rnacentral:tRNA from 1 species
GCUGAGAUAGCGAAGCGGUCAAACGCGGCAGACUGUAAAUCUGCUGGCCUUGUGCCUUCGCAGGUUCGAAUCCUGCUCUCAGCA